rnacentral:rRNA from 1 species
UACGUGGGGUCCGAGCGUUGUCCGGAAUUAUUGGGCGUAAAGAGCUCGUAGGCGGUUUGUCGCGUCUGCUGUGAAAUCCCGAGGCUCAACCUCGGGUCUGCAGUGGGUACGGGCAGACUGGAGUGCGGUAGGGGAGAAUGGAAUUCCUGGUGUAGCGGUGGAAUGCGCAGAUAUCAGGAGGAACACCGAUGGCGAAGGCAGUUCUCUGGGCCGUAACUGACGCUGAGGAGCGAAAGCGUGGGGAGCGAACAGG